rnacentral:rRNA from 2 species
CGCUGAACUUAAGCAUAUCAAUAAGCGGAGGAAAAGAAACCAACAGGGAUUGCCUCAGUAACGGCGAGUGAAGCGGCAACAGCUCAAAUUUGAAAUCUGGUUCUUCUGGAACCCGAGUUGUAAUUUGUAGAGGAUGUCUUCGGGUUUGGCCCUGGCCUAAGUUCCUUGGAACAGGACGUCACAGAGGGUGAGAAUCCCGUAUGUGGCUGGAGGUCUAUACCCAUGUGAAGCUCCUUCGACGAGUCGAGUUGUUUGGGAAUGCAGCUCAAAAUGGGUGGUAAGUUUCAUCUAAAGCUAAAUACUGGCGGGAGACCGAUAGCGCACAAGUAGAGUGAUCGAAAGAUGAAAAGCACUUUGGAAAGAGAGUUAAAAAGUACGUGAAAUUGUUGAAAGGGAAGCGCUUGCAAUCAGACUUGCCCUUAGUUGAUCAACUGGUGUUCUUCACCAGUGCACUCGGCUAGGGUCAGGCCAGCAUCGGUUUAUGCGGUUGGAAAAAGAUUAUAGGAAUGUGGCUCCCUUAGGGGAGUGUUAUAGCCUAUGGUGUCAUGCAACCAGCUUAGACCGAGGACCGCGCCUCUGUGCUAGGAUGCUGGCAUAAUGGUUGUAAGCGACCCGUCUUGAAACACGGACC